UACGUAGGGGGCAAGCGUUGUUCGGAAUGACUGGGCGUAAAGGGAGCGUAGGCGGAUUUUUAAGUGAGAUGUGAAAUACUCGGGCUCAACUUGAGUGCUGCAUUUCAAACUGGAAGUCUAGAGUGCAGGAGAGGAGAAUGGAAUUCCUAGUGUAGCGGUGAAAUGCGUAGAGAUUAGGAAGAACACCAGUGGCGAAGGCGAUUCUCUGGACUGUAACUGACGCUGAGGCUCGAAAGCGUGGGGAGCAAACAGG
rnacentral:rRNA from 1 species